rnacentral:rRNA from 1 species
GAUGAACGCUGGCGGCGUGCCUAAUACAUGCCAGUCGAGCGAACAGACGAGGAGCUUGCUCCUCUGACGUUAGCGGCGGACGGGUGAGUAACACGUGGAUAACCUACCUAUAAGACUGGGAUAACUUCGGGAAACCGGAGCUAAUACCGGAUAAUAUAUUGAACCGCAUGGUUCAAUGGUGAAAGACGGUUUUGCUGUCACUUAUAGAUGGAUCCGCGCCGCAUUAGCUAGUUGGUAAGGUAACGGCUUACCAAGGCAACGAUGCGUAGCCGACCUGAGAGGGUGAUAGGCCACACUGGAACUGAGACACGGUCCAGACUCCUACGGGAGGCAGCAGUAGGGAAUCUUCCGCAAUGGGCGAAAGCCUGACGGAGCAACGCCGCGUGAGUGAUGAAGGUCUUCGGAUCGUAAAACUCUGCUAUUAGGGAAGAACAAAUGUGUAAGUAACUAUGCACGUCUUGACGGUACCUAAUCAGAAAGCCACGGCUAACUACGUG